rnacentral:rRNA from 1 species
UGAGGAAUAUUGGUCAAUAGCCUAACGGCUGAACCAGCAAUUUGGAGGAAUGUUGAUGUGUAUUUUAUAUAAAUACAUGUCUUUAGCGGUAUAUCCGCAUAAAGUUCUAGAUAGAAUACUGAUAAUGACAAUUUUCUAUCUAUAAGUCUUGACCAAAUCACGUGCCAGCAGUCGCGGUAACACGUGGAAGACAAGUGUUAUUCAUCUCUAAUAGGUUUAAAGGGUACCUAGACGGUAUUUCUAGCCUUUGCUAUGAGGUACGGAUUUUACUAGAGUUUAAUGUAAGAGGUUAUUGUCAGUAUAUACAGAGUAGAGAUAAAAUUCUUUGAUACUGUACAGCACUGAUAACGGCGAAAGCGACCCUUCAUGUAAAAACUGACGUUGAGGGACGAAGGCUUGGGUAGCAAACAGGAUGUGCGACCUGAUAAACUCUAACAAAAAUUGUAUAACAUUAACGAUUAUACAUUGUAUUUCAUCUUACAUUAGUCUACAUAGAUAUGCAUUUUGGGUAACUAUUUUGUAUAAAGCUCUAUGGAAACUAUCAUUAUUUACAUUGGUAAAAUGAUAUUGGCUUUCUUUCAUGGUCAGAGAAAUCGAAUCAACGUAACUAAAACUCUGCCUUUUGCUAGGGUUAUUCUAUUAUAAUUAGUUAGGCAUUUAACGUGUCCUUGGUUAAAUGAAGAUGACCUAUUACUAACAGAGUAAAGUUGGGGACCUAAAAAAGAAUUUGGUUUUGUUAGGGAACAGGGUAUGCCUAUAAUUGCAAUAACAUAUUUUAUGCAGGGUUNNNNNNNNNNNNNNNNNAAAAGAGAGAAAAAUAACGUAUGACUUGCUUGUUAUAAGUAAAAAUGAUAUAGCUAAUUUAACAGAAUUUAUUGAUAAUAAAUAUAUCAUGCCUUUAAAAGGGAAUAAAUUUAAACAAUAGAUUGAUAAAAAAAAAUUGUGGUACAUAAAUAUAAACGUAAAUAAUGUUUAAGCCGUAUGCCAUGAAAGUGGCACGUGCGGUUUUAAGAGGGGGAAAGCUUGAAAGAGCCUACCUAUCUCAACUAGAUACCCUAAUAGUCCAUGCAGAAAAUGAUGAGUGCCAUAGAUUAGAACCAUUUUGAUCUAUAAAUGAAAGUGUAAGCAUUCCACCUUAAGAGUAGUGUGGCAACACAGGAACUGAAAUCAUUAGACCGUUUCUGAAACCAGUAGUGAAGUAUGUUGUUUAAUUCGAUGAUCCGCGAAAGACCUUACCACAACUUGAAUAUUAUAGCAAUAAAUAGGUUUAUUUUACCUGGCUAUGAAUACAGGUGUUGCACGGCUGUCUUCAGUUAAUGUCGUGAGAUGCAGGUUAGCUCCAUUAAAUUAACGUAAACCCUUACUUUAUUUUUUUUAUAAAGUAGUUCUCUGGUAUAUCGGAUUAGAUAACAGGGAUUAAGACAAGUACUCGUGGCCC